UUGCUCUUUAAGCAUUUCUCAGUUCGAGUUAAAAGAACGGAGAGAGCUUUUGUGUUACCUUGAGAGACUUGAGUAGCUUAAUUAGUGGAAGAAGCUUCUUGUUUUGAUUGAUGUUGAACUUAAGGGUUAAUCGGAUUCUUCGUAGACCCUUAAUUCGAUGUUUACCUUGCUCAAUCUCUAACGAUGAUGCAUCUUUCUCGACAACUUCAUCGAAAGAUCCUGUCUUUAAUCGUGUUCCGGAGAUAGGAGGAGUUUCUUAUCGAGAAGAUGAACAUUUAGGAGAGUUGAGGCAAUUGGGUUUCGUAAAGUCAUCAGCUUUGAAUGCUACGAGCGUUGGUGAACCUGAAUUCGGAGAGAUUCGAAACCCUAGGUUUGAUGAGAUAGAUGAAUUGGGAGAAGAUGAAGAAGAACUAGACGAUGAUGAUGAUAAUGAUGAAGAUGGUGGAACAAGUGGCGAAGAGCGUGAUGAUGAUCUCGCUGUUCUGAAAUCGGUUAGGAAGGUCCCUCAGUCACGAGAAGAAAAUGGUAGAUUCGAUGUGGAAGAAGAUGAAUCUAGGCAUCCUUUGGUGAGAGAGAUAGGUAGAUUGAUUGGUCUCAGGUCAUCUUGGAACCCAAAGCAUGAAGCCCAGAUGAGGAAUCUUCUGAGGAGUCUUAAACCAUCACAAGUCUGCGCUGUUUUACGCUCACAGGACGAUGAACGGGUUGCUCUUAAGUUCUUCUACUGGUCGGAUCGUCAAUGGCGGUAUCGGCAUGAUCCCAUGGUGUAUUACUCCAUGCUUGAUGUUCUUAGUAAGACUAAACUGUGUCAAGGUGCUAGGAGAGUUCUCGUUCUGAUGAAGCGUAGAGGUAUAUAUCGAAGCCCUACAGCGUUUUCGUUUGUAAUGGUAUCGUAUAGUAGGGCAGGUCAGCUGAGAGAUGCGUUGAAGGUGUUGACUCUUAUGCAGAGAGCUGGAGUUGAACCUGAUUUGUUAAUUUGCAAUACAACUAUUGAUGUUUUUUUGAGAGCGAAUAGGUUGGAGAAAGCUUUACGGUUUCUAGAACGUAUGCAAGUUGUUGGUAUAGUGCCGAAUGUGGUGACUUAUAAUUGUAUGAUCAGAGGUUAUUGUGACUUGCAUCGAGUUGACGAGGCUAUUGAACUACUAGAGGAUAUGCCUAGUAAAGGAUGUUUGCCGGACAAAGUUAGUUACUAUACCAUAAUGGGCUAUCUUUGUAAAGAAAAACGGAUUGUGGAUGUGAGGGACUUGAUGAAGAAGAUGGCGAAAGAGCAUGGUUUGGUGCCGGACCAAGUUACUUACAAUACUCUAAUUCAUAUGCUCACAAAACAUGACCAUGCAGAUGAGGCUCUUUGGUUUCUAAACGAUGCUGAUGAAAAAGGUUUUCGGAUUGAUAAGGUGGGUUAUAGUGCUAUAGUUCAUGCAUUGUGUAAAGAGGGAAGAAUGUCUGAGGCGAAAGAUCUCAUUAAUGAAAUGCUGUCGAAAGGACAUUGUCCACCUGAUGUAGUAACUUAUACUACAGUUGUCAAUGGCUUCUGUCGUUUGGGUGAGAUCGACAAAGCUAAAAAGCUUCUUCAGGUUAUGCACACACAUGGACAUAAACCAAAUACUGUGUCAUACACAGCUCUGUUAAAUGGGAUGUGCCGAACAGGGAAAUCAUUAGAGGCAAGAGAAAUGAUGAACAUGAGCGAAGAGCACUGGUGGAGUCCGAAUUCCAUUACUUAUAGCGUAAUUAUGCAUGGGUUGCGAAGGGAAGGGAAACUGUCUGAGGCCUGUGAUGUGGUAAGAGAGAUGGUACUAAAAGGUUUUUUCCCUGGCCCAGUUGAAAUCAACUUAUUGCUCCAGAGCCUUUGUCGGGAUGGGAGAACACACGAGGCCAGAAAAUUCAUGGAGGAGUGUCUGAACAAGGGUUGUGCUAUUAAUGUCGUGAAUUUCACUACAGUGAUUCAUGGUUUAUGUCAGAAAGAUGAGCUAGAUGCUGCUCUCUCAGUGCUUGAUGACAUGUACCUGAUCAACAAACACGCAGAUGUCUUUAUAUAUACUACUUUAGUUGAUGCGUUAGGAAAAAAAGGUAGAAUAUCAGAAGCAACGGAACUUAUGAAGAAGAUGCUUCAUAAAGGUAUAGAUCCUACCCCUGUUACAUACAGGACUGUCAUCCAUCGAUACUGCCAAAUGGGAAAAGUUGAUGAUCUUGUGGCUAUAUUGGAGAAGAUGAUAUUGAGGCAGAAAUGCAGGACGGUUUAUAAUCAAGUCAUUGAGAAGCUUUGUGGUCUGGGAAAGCUCGAGGAGGCAGACAAACUUUUGGGAAAGGUUCUGAGGACAGCUUCAAUAGCUGAUGCUAAGACAUGUUACGUACUUAUGGAAGGCUAUCUUAAGAAAGGUGUGCCUCUGUCAGCAUAUAAAGUGGCCUGUCGGAUGUUUAACCGCAAUCUGAUACCUGAUGUUAAGAUAUGUGAGAAGCUUAGCAAAAGACUGGUUCGAGACAAUAAAGUAGAGGAGGCAGAUCAGCUGAUGCUACGUUUGGUUGAGCGUGGUCAUAUAUCACCCCAGUCCUCAAAACCGUCAAUGGUCUAUCACAACCUCCAGAUCCAAAACGAAGGAACUAGGCUCUCACUCGGUUAGCAGUGAUGGAUUUCUUCUUUGAUGCUCUUGGCAUGAGGAAACUGGUUUGAGCAGAAACCAGUUAUUCUAUUUCACAUUUUCCUGGUAGCGACCCGUUAUUCCCAAUACUUCUACUCAUUGUUUUCAUUAUUACUAUUGAUGACUGGACAAAACUAAGAAAUAACCUUUUCGAAAGGAAGAACGUAAAAUGAUUUUUCCUUUCCGCAGGGACCAUAUUAAAGUGACACCAUACAAUCAAGUACUGAUAAGUCUCUGUCCUCUUAAGUUUUACUUUAAUUAAGGCCACAAUUGUCUAAGUUUUAUUUUACUUUAUAGCAAAACUAGAUGUUCAGUAUACCUCACUGUUUAUUGAUCAUUUUGAUUAUUCUGGGAAGUGAUUUCAUUAUAGACCAUGAUGUUUUGUUGGUUGCUGCUUGAUAAUUAGAAUACGGUAGAAGGUGCAAAUAGAAAAGAGUUGUUGAUGCAAAUGAGAAGGGACUGUAACGCUAAGAAUUUUUGUACAUGUAGAAUUUUCACUUUCUCUGAAGGUAUAUGCUAUUUAUAUUAUCAAUUAUGAGAAGAAAAAAGGAAAUCUUUUUGGGACAGACAGAAUUAUAUGGUUAGAAUUACGAUAGAUGACUGAACCUUGAUGGGGGUAUAUCAUACAUGUCGCUAUAUUAAUAAAGAUAUCCAUUAUUUUCUGUAUUUGGGUAUAGUGAAGCUGAUAGCUUACUUAUUGCAUAAACACUCUCUCUUAUUGUAUUUUAGUUAAUUUUGGUUUGUUGUACCAACGCGGAAUUAACUCGUCGUGACUUUCUUCUUCCGUGUGAACCUGGUGACGUUGGAGGUACUUAUCAAACAACAAUUCCAUGAUAAUGCCUGCUUAUUCUGAUAAUAAGCCAAAACUAGAAACUGUUGCUGGGAAAGUGAAAGUAAAGGGUCAGUUACUGCUUUUGUUGUAGACUGUUACUUUAUAUUCUGCAAACAAAAGGGUCAUGUCUGCUCUGCUUGUCCAGUUAACGGUUUUAAACUGUUGCUUUUUAUAAAAACUUAUUGAGCAAUUUCCACUUUGGCGUGUUGCUGUUUGUUUUUCCAUGUAAAGGCUGAGAGAGCCCUUAUGCGAAACUUGUUUCUUACUCUUGCGCAUUCACUUGUUACCGUAUAAUUCCACACACAAUCAUGCUAAAAAGAAAGUGUUGCUUUCAAGAAUCUCUAGUGAAAUUCAUUUUUAGAAAAGAUGUUGAAUUGAUCUUUGGCGAUGUGAUUUGUUGUUUUGUUUGUAAUGUUUAAAUGGUAUGUCCCACAGUAUAUGACAGCGAUUAUAACUGUUGUUGUCUUUGAGUGGAGGACUUGAGUUAUCUACAGGAUUCGACCUUGGAUUUAUGAUAUUUCCAUCAACACUUGACAGUAAAUGCUACUGGUGCUUCAAAGGAUCUCUACUGGAGCUUCAAAAGGAUUUCUAUUGGCUACAUGCAAAUGCCGACAGAGCGAGAACUGUUAUAUUACUACUGUACACUGCACAGGUACUGAAAGUCUCCAACUUUUACAUAAAAAUAGUUUCUAGAAACUUGAUGGCUCUGACUGAACCAUCAACUAGUAAGGUCUUUAGCAUCUUAUGUAGUGAAACCGAACCCUGUGAAGUCUUUGCUUUGGCAAAAUGGUUGAAUACAAAUGAUUAAACUUUGGGUUAAUCAAGAGAGUCCUGCGGUAAGGAUUUUUAGCCUUGGAAGCCUUAAUCGAACAAUCGUUUAACUUUGCUUAACUCAUUAACAACAUUGUUGAAUCCUUCUUUACGUUCCCAUGUAAUGCAAUGCCACAUUAUUGAGAUGGGUCGUUUGCAUUAUUGAAGUCACCCGCAACGAAUCCAUGACCCUGAACUGAUGGGUUCAUUUCUGCUUAUGAUUUGCAUUGCCAAAACACUCUGCAACAAAACACCACGAGUCCUUUCUGCCCCAUCUCUUCAACUCAUGGGAGGCUUAUUACACGUCAAGAGAAAGCUCAUUGGUUAUGGCCAUUCAUUCUUUGUGCUCGACCUUAACUGGACUGUGUAUUUGAGGAUUUUGUGUUUGGUAUUAUCCAAAGGCACUUAUGCUUUUGCUUGCUGAAUCAUCUCCCAUGUUCUGUUUACUUUGUUUGUCUUCCAGUUUGCACCCAAAGAUCAUUCAUUACCUCUGUAGCAGUCAAAUUGUUGUGUAAAUUCGGUUUUGCCCCUACCCCUCCUCUUGAUACACUUUUGUGGGAACUGAGGAACUAUCUUGGGAUAUGUGGAACCAUAGUGUAACGAAGUUAUGUGCAUUGAAACCAUUGACGAGGAAGGUCUUCCAGGUGAGGCAUUGUUGGCCGCCGUAGAGAGCUUGUCUAUUUGCCGAGUGAGUUGUUGGAGCAGUGUCAUAGCCUUGAUUGUGAAUUCGAGCAUAUUCUUUCUCUCCGCACAUGAUAUAUAGUGGUUCGGAAAGCUAGUCGAACGAGGAUUCACUGCAACUUGCUGAAGUAAGCCCCAAUGUGGUGAAAAUGUAUUCCCUUUUGGCGCUAUAAAAGUGUUUCAAAUUUAGUAUACGAAUGACUAAUGUAGAUUUCAAAAGACGAUGAUACUUCUUAUUUGUAAAAUGGACCACCAAGAUUUUUCAUUCCUUUUAAAAAGGAGAUUUGAUCUCUAAAGUCAUAUCGUAGAAAAGAUUUGAUGUAUGAG